GAAGUAAGCCCAAGAUCAUCCUCACAUGUGGCACCAAGUAGACACGACUGGGAUCCACUGCUAACAGCUAUAUUUGCCACUGCUAACCUAGAUACACACGAGUUCUGUGUAAAAUGGGCAUCAAUGAGUAAAAGACAGAAGUAAUAACCCCAAAUACAGAUUAUUAUCUGGACUAUUGACUAAAGAUCAACCCACUGAUGUUCUAAUAUGACAGCAUUCAUAGGAAAGACUUUUAAAGAGAGACUUGGAGGAUCGUUCUAAUUCUGAACUGAAAGCCUGCUCCCGGUGGAUUAGCUUUGUUAAUAUGCAAAGUUGUUGUGCAAACUACCAAGGGAGAAGAACAAUCAAUAGUUCUAUUUGACCAGCAUUGCAAGAAAAUCCUGAAGGUACACAGUGGCACCUUUAUCCUGUGUUAACCACCAGCCACUUAAUGGACAUAAGGGAGAGACAAUAAAAGGUAAUUUAUGUCUGACACUAUAAA
rnacentral:lncRNA from 1 species